GAUAACCCAACCAGGGCUGAAUUUGUCGAGCUCUUCUGAGCUAUCCAAGGAUUGACUGCAACUGUAGGAUAAAAUCAAGUCAACCCUUGUCCAUCUCCUGCCCCAUAUACCGAAUAACCAAAAUGUCCAUUUUUCACAACAUAGCAGAGUUUAAAAAGCUUAACUAGCCACAUUGCGAAGGUGAUCGUGACCCCUUAGUAGCCAAAGCCUAGAUCCUAUGGAUAGAGAAACUUUUCUUUGUCC
rnacentral:lncRNA from 1 species